CUGCGUCUUGGUGGUAGUUGUCCCCGGGGCCCAGCUGUUUUCUCUUUAUCUCUUUGUCUUGUGUCUUUAUUUCUUACAAUCUCUCCUCUCUGCACAGGGGAAGAACACCCACCCGCAAAGCCCCGUAGGGCUGGACCCUACAUCAGCCUGCCCUGCUCGGGGUUGGCGAUGCUGGAGGUGGGCCUUGGACCAGAGAAAAUGCUUUAAUUAGGUGACAAGCGGGCAGAGGCCUUUGUCUCUGGCGCCGGCAGCCACGGUCCCCGCUGACGGCAUGGGAAACAGACCCUGUUCCACUCCGGUCUCCAGCCUUGGAAUGGUUGCCUCGGUGCAAUGUAGGAGGACGCGGCAGAGGGCGGACGAUCGCUCCACUCGCCUGGACCAGGUGCGGGGGCCCUGCCCAGCCCCUGGGGCGUGGCCAGGCUCGAAGCACCCAGGUGUCGGGGGCCGACUCUAAGCCCUGGCACCGGAAGGGAGAGGGCGGCGGAUUGGACCUCCCGGCUCCAGCAUUGCAACUGGGCGCUCCGUCUCCUGGUCCACGCAAUGAUGCCGCGGCUGCUCAGAAGCCAGCCAUCCGCCCGGCCCGGGAGGACGGACGCUGCGAAACUCCCGGCCGCGCCCUCUCCUUCCUCUCCUCCCCAAGCCCUCGCUGCCAGUCCGGACAGGCUGCGCGGAGGGGAGGGC
rnacentral:sRNA from 1 species